rnacentral:rRNA from 1 species
UACGGAGGAUGCGAGCGUUAUCCGGAUUUAUUGGGUUCAAAGGGUGCGUAGGCGGACUGUCAAGUCAGCGGUAAAAUUGAGAGGCUCAACCUCUUCCCGCCGUUGAAACUGGUGGUCUUGAGUGGAUGAGAAGUACGCGGAAUGCGUGGUGUAGCGGUGAAAUGCAUAGAUAUCACGCAGAACUCCGAUUGCGAAGGCAGCGUACCGGCAUCCAACUGACGCUGAGGCGCGAAAGCGUGGGGAUCAAACAGG